GAUGAAGAACGUAGCGAAAUGCGAUAAGUAGUGUGAAUUGCAGAAUUCAGUGAAUCAUCGAAUCUUUGAACGCACAUUGCGCCCCUUGGUAUUCCAUGGGGCAUGCCUGUUCGAGCGUCAUUUGUACCCUCCAGCCCUGCUGGGUAUUGGGCGUUUUGUUCCGCUACGCGCGUGAACUCGCCUCAAAUGCAUUGGCAGCCCGCCGUCCCGUGUGGGAGCGCAGCACAUUUUGCGCUCUCCGCUGCUGACGGUGGCAUCAACAAGUCUACCAUUUUACGCUUGACCUCGGAUCAGGUAGGGAUACCCGCUGAACUUAAGCAUAUCAAUAAGCGGAGGA
rnacentral:misc_RNA from 1 species